GAUGAACGCUGGCGGCGUGCUUAACACAUGCAAGUCGAACGAUGAAGCCCAGCUUGCUGGGCGGAUUAGUGGCGAACGGGUGAGUAACACGUGAGUAACCUGCCCUUGACUCUGGGAUAAGCCCGGGAAACUGGGUCUAAUACCGGAUAGGAGCGCCUGUCGCAUGACGGGUGCUGGAAAGAUCUUUCGGUCAUGGAUGGACUCGCGGCCUAUCAGCUUGUUGGUGAGGUAACGGCUCACCAAGGCGACGACGGGUAGCCGGCCUGAGAGGGUGACCGGCCACACUGGGACUGAGACACGGCCCAGACUCCUACGGGAGGCAGCAGUGGGGAAUAUUGCACAAUGGGCGAAAGCCUGAUGCAGCGACGCCGCGUGAGGGAUGACGGCCUUCGGGUUGUAAACCUCUUUUCAGUAGGGAAGAAAGCGAAAGUGACGUACCUGC
rnacentral:rRNA from 1 species